GGAAACCCAUAUUAUGUCAAAACAUUGAAUCACCAUUUAGUUGUAGCUAGCAAUCUUCGAAUUAAUUGAAACCAAGACUAUCUCAAAGAUGGUUUCUUCAAAGUCAACCAUUCUCUUUGAUUGUAGUCACCUUAAGCUACCAAUUAGCUUGAAGGUUUCAUUAUUUCGAGUCAAAUGGUACUUUACCAUUUUCUUGAGUAUAUAUCGUAUAUGCACUCAAUGUAGUCAUAAGGAUUUUCAUUCUUAUCGACUACCUUGGAGCUUGUGGUAUAGGAACUAGGUUGUUAUAUUUGUUGAUUACUUCUUUGUCUCUCAAAGAACCCAUUCUUUGAGUUCUAUCUAUCGUUCAUUUGCAUCUUAGGCAAAUCACAUUGUAGGAUUACAAUGAACUACCUAACAAAACAACCUUUGUUAGUUGGUUUAUAGAAGCGAUAUCCAAAAGUUAUUUUAAGGAUAUCCUACAAGAUUGUUAUCAAACAAAUAUUGCUAGUUAGCACACAACCCCAAAUCUUUAACAUGCUUAAGAUUUGUCUUUCUUUUCCAACUACAUCUUAUGGAGUUAUGAAAAUUUUGGAAGAUCUUCUAAUUGACAAUCAUAUUGUUUUAGAAGUAUAUAUCCUAUAUAUGGGUAAUAGAUAACAUCUAACGAACUAAAUCUUAUUUGAGUUCGUUCUUCUCCUAAUGGAGAAAUACAUUAUCUUAUGAUGCUAUUUUCCUUGAUAUCUUUCAAGGAAACUCAUCUAAAAGUGUUACCUUUCCUUGGAUCAAAUCUAAGGAGGUAAAUACUUUAGAUAUCUUACUCAUCUAUUUACAUUUCUUGAAUUCUUUGAAACCUUUUGCAAAGUAUUCGGACUUGUGUUUUAUUCAAAAUAAACUAUAGUCCAACCGAGAGUGAUCUUCGGUGAAUGUCAUAUAACAUGAGUAGUAUUAUGUUGUGGACAAGUGCCACUAACAUCUAAGUGAAUUAACCUCAACAACUUUGUGAUUCUUUCUUCUUUCCAAAAGAAUAAAGAUUCGAACAUUUCGCCUCUAUACAAUUUUAAACAAGAAGGUAUUGGAUCCGGAUCUAACGAUCCAAAGCAUCCUUGUUUCACCAACUCGUAACUUAUGUUUUUAGAGGUAUCACAAUUUAGUUGGGAUUAGUCACUACCUUGCAACCUUUUGGGUUUUAAGCAUCAUUAUAUU
rnacentral:lncRNA from 1 species